rnacentral:rRNA from 1 species
UGGGGAAUAUUGGACAAUGGGCGCAAGCCUGAUCCAGCCAUGCCGCGUGAGUGAUGAAGGCCUUAGGGUUGUAAAGCUCUUUUAGCGGGGAAGAUAAUGACGGUACCCGCAGAAAAAGCCCCGGCUAACUUCGUGCCAGCAGCCGCGGUAAUACGAAGGGGGCUAGCGUUGCUCGGAAUUACUGGGCGUAAAGCGCACGUAGGCGGACUCUUAAGUCGGUGGUGAAAUCCUGGAGCUCAACUCCAGAACUGCCUUCGAUACUGGGAGUCUUGAGUUCGGGAGAGGUGAGUGGAACUGCGAGUGUAGAGGUGAAAUUCGUAGAUAUUCGCAAGAACACCCGUGGCGAAGGCGGCUCACUGGCCCGAUACUGACGCUGAGGUGCGAAAGCGUGGGGAGCAAACA